rnacentral:lncRNA from 1 species
UGUGUGUGCUGUGUGAUUUAUAAUUAUAAAAAUUAUUAAAAGUUAAAAAAGUGCUAAAUUAAAGGAAACAAAACAUAUUAGAUAGGGUAGAUAGUAUAAUAAUCUGAAUUAAAAAGUUAGCAAAUAUUAAUAUAUAUAGGUAUGUGUAUAGAAUUUAUUUGACUAUAAUAUUUCUUGUGUUGAAUUUUAAAUGUAACUAGGAAAAAAGAUCUUACUAUUUAAAUAGCAUGAGGCAUAUUGUUACAGUUGUCAUAAUCUUCGGGACGUUAGUGAGCCUAUCCAUUGCCACUAAAAAAAAGUUUGUUUUGACGUACUGCAUAAUUUUCUGCUAAUUAUCUGCUAAUCUUUUGACUUAGUCCCGAAUUUUUUGCUCCUACAUGUUUUCCGGAAAUUAAGACCAAAAGUGGGGGUGCUAAGUCACGUGACGCUAGCACCUCCCACUAAUAAAAAAAGCAUAAACAAAUAUACCAAAAUUGUCUACUUAUUUUCUGUUUUAAGAAACCCAGUAGGUUUUCCCAAAGGUAGACCACAUAUUUCUCAAUGUCCCCAAGGAAUUCCUCCAUUAGGAAAGGAUACUUCUUAUCCGGGGAAACCUCGAGGAUAAACCUCCUGAUGUCGGAGAUACUUUUCACUAUUUCCGAUACAUCUUGUCGAGCACAUCCGCUCCGUCCUCCGAAGCAGAGGACGAAGCAGAUCCAUCGUCUGACGAUUUUUUUAGCCGCUCUUCUUUUUGAAGCCACUGGAGCUCGCGCCGAACUCCGAUGGGGUCCCCACGCUCGAUGACGACGAGGUAGCGCCAGGUCUCUUAGCGCCACCCCGCCGGCCCAUGGUAUCCGACCCCAAGGAGUCUCUUCUUCUUGGACUCGGCAUAUUAUGUUGGUUUUUUAUUGGAGUUUUUCUUUUCCUAGUUUGAUGGCCUGGGGGCCUAACGGGUUCGGACAUUUGGGAAGAGAUGGAGUUAGCCGAGGCAGCCCAUAUUCGCCUUGUUAUGGAGUCUAACCCAGGAGAGGCAUUUUAUAGGUCGUUUUUUUCACAAGGAACGCCCACCAAUUCUCCGGACACUCCACCUCUUAUACAUCUUAUUUCUAAGACGUACUGCAUGCUCUUGGUUACCCCACCAUUGAUAAUCUUAAACAUCGAUGAUACGGCUUAAGCUUCUUUAUCAUGAUAAGGUGGCGUGCGAUGAAGAAGGAAUAUCGGUACUUUAAUAACCGUUUUAUAUUUUUGGUAUCUUUUUACAGUUUUUUAAAGCAGAAAAUGAGCAGAAAAUUGUGGUAUAUUUAUUUUUUUUGUUUAUGCCUUUUUUAAUUAAUGGGGAUGUGCCAGCGUCACGUAAACUUAACACACCCACUUUUGGUCUCAAUUUCCGGCGAACAGGUAAGAGCAAAAAAUUCGAGACUAGGGCAAAAAAUGAGCAGGUAAUUAGCAGAAAAUUAUGCGGUAUGUCUAAACUUUUUUUUUAGUGGUGGGGGUGUUAGGUUAGGUUAGGUUACUGAUGUACCUUUGGGACGAUUGCAAGAGAAAAGUUUUUACUUUGCAUUUUAAUCAAUAAAACAAGGAAACUUUACAGUCUUCUUAAACCUUAAGCAAGUGUCUUUUUUAGACGUGAAUGUUAAUAUAUUCUAUUUAAUGUCUUAAAAACCUCUUUAAUUUAUUUACAUUUAGCCAGCUAACCAUUUGCUAUCAAAUUACUAACAGUAGAGGAACAAUUUUCUGCGGAGUGAAAUUGCCAAAUUCAGGGCUUACUUUGUCCUCGAGUGCACUCCAAUUGCAACCAAAACUUGAUAUUAUAUUUUAAUACAAAAUUAAUUGUAAUACUACUGCAGAUUUGCUAUUAACAGUGAGGCAUCAGAUUGAAGCAACAAAUUGACAGCAUGUUUGUCAACUGCAAACCCAUAACAGAUUUGCACCAAAUAUUCAGCAGAUCUGUGUGCAGAAUUUAUAACAAAUUGACGACAAACCUAAGCAGAUCUAUCUGCAGAAUGCAAGAACGAUGGCAAGUUGACAACAAACAUGAGGUAGAUCUGUUUGCAAAAACCAUGGCAGAUCAGUAAUCAGUUCUAUUAGUCCAGAAUGUUUUAUUUUCAACGUGGAAAGAGAAAGACACCCCUUUUGUUAAUCUUAUUUUAAUCUUUUUUAUUGACUGACAUAUUUCUAGUAUUAUAUAUAUGUUGAUGGCGAAAUCUUACUUUCUUCUGUGCUCUAUUGCGAGCCUCUUUUAUUCAUAAGAAAGUGCAGUUUUGUUCAGAGAAAACUUAUAUAGCGCUACAUAGCGAUGGGUAGUGAAAAGAAUACUAUCUUAACCUUCCGUCUGUACACUUAUUUUCACUAACACGGUCUAUACACUGACCCCUUUUUGUUCUGUCCCUUUUUUAAAAAUGGUAAAUACAUGCAAAUCUGAAAAAAUUCCUAAUUACUUUUGUGACUACAUUUUAAAUUGGAUAGUUAUUUUGGUCAUUUAUUCAAUAUUUUUUUUACAAUAACAAUUUACAUUUUCUGAGAUUGACAAGAAAUGGAAUUUUGUAAAAAAAAUUCAUAACUUAAUGAUAAAUUAUUAUUAAGAAAAAUUUUUUUGAGGUUUUUUAAAUUAAGGUAUGACUUUUCAGAAAAAAUUAUUCUAUAUGUGUCGGUUGCAAAAAUUAUAAUUAUUUGCAUGAUUGAAAAUAAGGUAUUUUUCGGACGUCUAUGAAGCUGGAAGAACAAGGUCGUCGAAAAUGAAAAACAAUAGCAUGAGAAUUAGGUACUUUUUAGGUGCUAUUUAGGUGCUCCAUUCAAAAAUUAGGUGCUCUUCCCGUUUUUCCGGAAAUUAAAAUUAUGCGUUGUACUGCCAGCUUGACGUAAGCUAGCAGCACACCCAACUAAUAUCUAAACUAAAAGAAGAGCCCUAAAAAAAUCGAAAGGGUUCCAUAAUUAGGUGCUUUUUAAGUGCUUUUGAAUGGUCAAGCUCGCGGAGUCGUAUCACUACCCUUUCGCCCAAAAACACCCUUUUAACGAUAUAGAUAUCAAGAAAAAAAUGUUAUAAAUGAUUGGAAUAAAAAAUAAAUUUAUAUACAGAAAAUAGGUUUUAAUUAAGUGCCUUAUUAAUGUACCACUAGCGAAUUAAGUGAUCUACCCCUUAGUUAGCAGCGCACCCAACUAAUAUCACUGAAGGAAGAUUCCUAAAUAAACCGAAAAGCUUUAACUAGGGUGUACUUUUUAGGUGCUUUUGAAUAAUUAAGCUCGCGGAGUCGUAUCUCUACCUCUUAGUCCAAAAACAUCCCCUUAACAUCAGUAUUAAGAGAAAAAUGCUAUAAAUAAUUAAAAUAAAUUAAUUUAUAUAGAGAAAAUGUUUUAAUUGAGUGCCUUAUUAAUGUACUACCAGCGAAAUAAGUGAUCCACCCCUUAGUCCAAAAAUCCACUCCUUACAGUAUGUCGCUCUUAAUACUAACUUACAAAAUUAAUAUAAUUAAACUAUUUUCAUCUAUCAAAUCUGAAAGUACUUUAUACAAAUAUACAUACAGGGGUUUAAUGACAAGAAAUUACAAGCUUUCAAAUAUUCUGUAUCUCAUUUUUGACAUACAUUAUUAAAUGUAGAGAUAUUGUUUUUUGUUAUUUAGUUUUUUAGGUGAUUUGGCCACAUCGUCAUAUUCUAAAAGCGACAUACUGUAGGAGGUGAAUUUUUGGACUAAGGGGUGAACAUUUAAUUCGCUGGUGGUACAUUAAUAAGGCACUCAAUUAAAACCUAUUUUUUGUAUAUAAAUUAAUUUUUUGUUUUAAUUAUUUAUAGCAUUUUUCUCUUGAUACCUAUAUCGUUAAGGGGGUGUUUUUGGGCGAAGGGGUAGAGAUACGACUCCGAGAGCUUGACCAUUCAAAAGCACUUAAAAAGCACCUAAUUAUGGAACCCUUUCGAUUUUUUUAGCUCUUCUUUUAGUGAUAUUAGUUGGGUGCGCUGCUAACUAAGAGGUAGAUCACUUAAUUCGCUGGUGGUACAUUAAUAAAGCACUUAAUUAAAACCUAUUUUCUGUAUAUAAAUUUAUUUUUUAUUCCAAUCAUUUAUAACAUUUUUUUCUUGAUAUCUAUAUCGUUAAAGGGGUGUUUUUGGGCGAAAGGGUAGUGAUACGACUCCGCGAGCUUGACCAUUCAAAAGCAUUUAAAAAGCACCUAAUUAUGGAACCCUUUCGAUUUUUUUAGGGCUCUUCUUUUAGUGAUAUUAGUUGGGUGCGCUGCUAGCUUACGUAAAGCUGGCAGUACAACGCAUAAUUUUAAUUUCCGGAAAAACGGGAAGAGCACCUAAUUUUUGAAUGGAGCACCUAAAUAGCACCUAAAAAGCACCUAAUUCUCAUGCUAUUGUUUUUCAUUUUCGACGAUCUUGUUCUUCCAGCUUGAUAGACGUAUUUUUCGGAUAAUAAGAAUAUAAUAAAAUGGUGAAUUUUCACAUAAAUCUUUUUAUUAUAAAAAAUUAUAGUAUAUUAUUACAAAAAAUUUAAAUAUAUACAAUGUAGAAUGAUCAAAAUUGAAGAAAUAAUAAUAUUAACUAUGUUUUUGUGCGCCAUCUAAACAGAAAAUUGUGCGAUGAUAGUCGCAAAUUGGCUCGCCACAUAUACCACACAAAACCACGUUUUUUAUUAUCUGAGGAUGGACAUACAGAACAUCUUUUUCGUUUGUUCAUUUUUAUAUUAGGAUUAAAAGCCUAAGUAAAGUCAUUGCCAUUAUUUAAAAUUUCUUGAAUUGUGUGACGUAAAUAGCUUCUUUUAAUAUUUUUAUUUCUAAAUGGCGUUGCAAAUGUUGGCUUUACUAAAUUGAAAGCCACGUUUUUCAAAAAGUCACAUUGAUUUAAAAAUAGAUUUUUUUGUCGCAAAUAGUAUAAAAUUGAUGAAUUUAUGCCAGCAUGAUAAAGCAUGCAACAUAUGCAAGAGCCAGUGAUCAGACAUGUCCAAGAAGCCAUUGUGAUUAAAUUGCCUUUAUCGAUUAAAAAAAGCAGAUUAUGCUUGUAACUUAAGUAAAAACAUAAAAAUAACAAAAUAAUUAAGAAAAAUACAAAAAUUAAAUAUUUUUUACUGUCACGAAAUAUUAACACAGUCUGUACAUUGGGCCUUUUUGGGAACACUUGAAAAUAUACAUGCUGUUUUAACAAGUGCUGGAUCGAAGCGCUCUUUUGGGUACAAGUAUUUACUAUUACUAAGUUUUUUUUAAGGAGGGAAGUCAAGCUUUGCCUAUCAUUAGUCUUGUGGCUACACAAGUGAAAAAUUUCGUUCGUUCCCUUUUAGGGUUAGUGUACAGACGGAGAGUUAAGAAUAAAAUAUACUCACACACAAUACAAACCUUUGAUGUAAGUGAACAUUUUUAGUUGACAGUAUUCUAUGCAAGACAUAUAGCGUUCAAGAAUAAAAAAUUACUUGCUGCCGAGAAUUUAUUUUUUUCGGUAUAAUUUCAUACAUUUUGUUUGCGUGUGUAUAUUAUCUGUAUUAUUGUCAAACUAUAUUGUACAUAUUUCUAUGUAAAAUUAUACCAAUUUGUAAAAAUAUUUACAUAACGUAAUGGAAGAACUUUUUAUGAUUUUGAUACUGUGACAAGAAAAUUAAAUAGAGGAAAGACUGAAUUUGGAAUAGUUCCCUAAAUUAGAAUUCCUUAUUUCUCGGAAGCUAAACUUUGCACCGUAUGAAUACCAAUACAUGAUCCGCUUGUUUAAUAAAAAAAAUAAAAACCUAUAUUUUAUACAUUUGUCUUUUUUUACGUAAAAUCUGCUAAAAACGAAUUCAAAAGCGAGAGUUUUGUUUGCACAAUUUUCUCUUUAAAAUGCAGUUUAAACAAUAGUGAGUGUAUUAUUAAUAACAUUAUCAUCAUUUUACAUGUUUGUAGUUUCCUAAAACUGUUUCUUUUUAUUUUUCUCUUUUAUAUUUAUUUUGUAGUGCAGUUGUAAAUAUGAAGUUGUUGUGUGUGCGUAAAUUGAAAUUCUCCAGAGGUCUAGUAUGGUAACUGUUACUACACCGUGAUCGUAACUUUAAUAUACAACCUAUAUGUAUAAUAACUUAAAUGUUUCGAGGUGAGAUUUCACAAGAUACAAUAGACGAGUCGAAAAAAGUGUGCCUGUUAAAAAAUAUGCUUUGUAAGCGAACCUAAUGGAAUAAUAUAGAGUCUAUAGAGUACUAGUAAUAUACUAGCACACAUACUAUUAUCAAAAGGGGUGAUCAUAUUUAAACUUCUACAUGAGAGUGAAACUGAGAAGAUGUUAGAGUUUAAAAGUGGCUUCUCACUCUUUUAUAGAGUCUAUAGAACGAACAGGGAACGGACAGAAGUGUCUUUCACCGAUUUUAAUGAGCUUUGGAUAGUUUGUAGAACAUAAAAAAAAAUUAGAUCUAUAUUUUUUUAGCGGUGUUUCUCGACGUUUAGGGGUUGAAACCAUGGAUAAAGUUCCGAAAAGGGUAAUCCUCCGAUCGCGCUGAAAUUUUAACCAAAGCUCACCCUUGAUUAGAGAAGAAAGUCCCUAAAAGGAUUUUUGGCGACAAAGCCUCGUUUGCCCCCCAGCUUCCUUCAAAGUUUUUACAGUUUUCACUAAAUAUCUCGGAAAAUAUUGAUUUUAGAGAAAAAAGUUUGAAACAAAAAAUGAAGCUCAUAAAAAGCUCUACAAAAAAGUUUAUAUACAUUUUUUACGUAAACCUAUUAUUUUGGCUGUUAUAAAGAAAAAGUUUUUUUAAUCAAAAUUUUUAAAGUUUUUAUUAUAUAUCUCGGAAAAUAUUAGCUUAUAAAAAAUAGGUAGAGAAAAUGCGUGGUAUACAGAACACACACGCACGCACGCACGCACGCACGCACGCACGCACGCACGUACACAUAUAUGUAUCUAUGUAUGUAUACAUAUAUAUAUCUAUUGUCAUGUCUUUUUUUCUGCGCGGGGUAAGCCGCGAGCAAAAAGAUAGCGUCAACGGAGAUCGAUUGAGACGACGAUAAAAUACCGCCGUCCGAAACAGCCCGCCUAACUUCUCGCGCGCGAAUCUCGGCGACACAAACGACCGGAUUGGGCGCCAGACGUGCUCGAUGGCACGUCAAUUCGCGAGAUUCACGAAAACAGCCUUAAUUCGCGCGCGAAAAAAUGGCUAGCUCUCCUAACGGCAGAGCGGCAGGGUCUAGGAAAGGGGCAUACGUUACGCGAGAGCGCGGAGCGCGACAGAAAAGCAAAUGUCAACAUAGUCGAUUAUUAACAAAAAUAAAGUUUAUUAAAAAGAAAAGAAAUUAAAUGUAAGAACGGUGAAUAAACGUUAUUAGAUAUCAACGUGAAAGGUAAUAGCACGCGCCAAACGAUACGGGCGCACGUGAACACCGGCGCACCGGCCUCACUAAUCCGUGAGCGCGCGGGCACGACCUUCCUCGCGCAACGCUACACUGUUUCCAGGCGGACGAGAUAUGCCAACAAUCCCGGCAACCAUAGACCGCGACCGCGAUAUCCGUUCCGCGACAUUCGUUGCUUUCAAAACCGAUUGCGCUAUACCAAAUUACUCGCGCGACGCUGUGAUCGCGGCCGAUAUCCGCGGGGACUAUUUUUCCCACGCGGCGCUACGCGGCUUGCUCGGGCGAGGGCUUUGCGGCGCAUGCGGUCGCUACUUCCUGGGGAACCGUUCACGGAAUCCGCUCUCCUCUUCGGCCACGAUACCCGACGCUAUCCCGCUCCUCUCACUUGAGUUCGACAAUUUACCAACAACGCGAGGCCGCCCGCAACGCGUUACGCAACACGAACACGAAACUAUGUCGGACGCAGAACGAGAAUGGGGUGGCUCGCCGAUCAGUUUACAACACACGGUCGAGACGAAAUAAUCGGGCCACCUCACCGAUACUUGUCCGGGCUGCUACCGCUCUUCCGUCACCAGGCCGCCUUCGAGGGGAAGCUCUUCCGUUAUCGUCUUCCCGAGGAUCGCUGACCGAUAUUAAGGCGGGUUCGCUAUUUUUCCCGAAACAUGCUCUUUAUACGACCGUACGCAAAAAGCCCGGGGGAUCGCGGUCGAUCCGCGAUCAAUGACGCGAAACCCUCUACUAAAGGCUGAACGCCAGUUCUCGCGCAUCCCGCUGCCCAAUCACUGCAGGGCGAGCAGUCCUGCGCCCGCAGGACCGUGAGCGCUCUUAUUCUUCCGGGUGCCCCACGGGCCCCCGCGAAGAUAAAAUUUUUCCGCCGGCAACCUCCGGCGUCUCGGCGAUCUCUGCCGCCUUCCUUCUCUUGCCCGCGGGAGGGACCCGCAUCCCGCGGGGGUAGUCGCACGUCCUCGACUUUUACGCCGUCUCCAGGAGGCUUGCCGUUCCGUUAUUAGCGAGGCGUCGACCUUUUUCGCACCACGGCCCCGGUUUUUCCGGUGCGCUUGCUUGCGCCCCGCCGCUCGUCUCGUUGGAGUUGCCGGAUUCGCGGAAUCCUCCGGGCGCGCCCAUCCUUCCGCACUUGCCGCUGCCUCCCCCUCGCACUCCUGGCUGUUGAUGCGGGAAGUGCUCGCCGAGUUACCGAAAAGAAUACAAGAUUUAGCUUAUCUACUCUACAUUCGUCGUGAUUCGCCCGGGAGAUUUCCCGAUUCGCUCUCGCUUCUCCGUCCGGCGCGAACUGGCAGCCUGUGACGGGGGAGGGACGCUGUUUGUCGUGAUAGCGGAACUGCCACGUCACAAUAUAUUUUGCAUGUUAAAUUUAUUCGCCCGUGUUGUGUGCAAAAUGUAUAAUUCGUGUCGUGUGCAAAAUGUACAUCCGUAUAAAUGUAUCAAAAGACAUGGUAGGAUCCUGCGCCAAGUGAAAGCGCAGCGCGAGACAGAUCGUGUAUAUUUACGCGAUUUGCGAACAUCUAAAAUUAUUAGAUCUCAAUAACGGCCAAAUAUAAACAUAACGGGAAGUUGCCUUUCUAACUCGUAGUUGGUAAUGUCAGUAAGUAUAUUGGAUAGUGUAUUGUCAUAAGUAUUGUUUUUUUUGUGAACAUGUAAGUAUCUGCUUUUAAUUUGUAUUUGUACUUUUUUACUCUUUUGUCUUUCUUUACUUUAUUAUAUCUUUAUCAUGUUUUUUUUCAAUAUUUAAACCUCAAAAAAUGUUUAUUUAAUUUAUAAAACAACAAAAUUUUAUUUCGAUAUAAACAUAAAUAUAUCAAACACGACAAAUUUAUUCGUAAACGUUUUAACCGUUUUAUUUAUUCAGUUUUGAUGGCUUAAUUUAUUUUGAUUUAUUAUUUUUUUAUCAAGAGAAAGCAAAGAGUAAGAAGCGACAUAACUAUCAUAAAUAGACAAUUCUGUUAAUUAUGAAAUGUAUUAUUUUUUGUAUAUGAUAAAAGGUUGAGAUAUAUAUUUAAUUUUAAUAUUUUAACAUGUUUUAAUUUAGUCCAUAUAAUGUGAUAUUUUUACUUAUGAUAACCUUCAAUGGUAUGGAUUAUCCGAUAACUUCGCAGGAAAGACGAAUAAAUAAAAAAAAUUGAACAUGUUAUUGGAAAUAAAAAAUAAUGAGCAAUUUUAAUUCGAAGAGGAAGAAACUUUAGACUUUUAUGAUGAGUAUGAGAUUCCAGAAGCGGAAAAAGUUGAUUUAUUAGAGGCGGAUGAAGAGAAAAUUUAUUUUUUAGAUGAAGUUAUUUGUGAUUUAGUUGAAGAAACAAUAUCAACUGACUAUAAAAGACAAGCUGUGAAAUACUGGAAAAGCGGUAAAACAAAACCAAGAUUGCUUCACAAAGUUAGCACUUGAGAAAAAAAUCAUUCAUGAUAUUGAUAUCGCUCGAUGGACUUCUUGAGUAGAAGAAGAGGAAAAUGCAGCAAGAUUUAAAGCUUUAGAGAAAUGGACACAAGAUUUAAAAAAACACAUAAUAUUGUGUCUAAAAAAAUAACAAAAUUUGUUACACAAAGGUCUCCACUAUCAAAACUUAAUUUAGAAAAUAAAUACGAUACAUUUAUUAUAAAUGCAGGAUUGGAAUUCUUUUAAUUUACAUUUUAACGUGCGAACAAUAUCCGCCUCGAGGAAAUAAUUUGUCUUGUUCGUCAUAUUUAUUGGGUUAUUUUCUUUUGGACACGUAACGAUUGGAUAUGACUUGAAUGGACACGCACUAUUAGACACGGCACGAUUGGACACCGCAUUAUUGAACACCGCAUUAUUGGACACUGCACAGUCUUUUAGUGAAAAACAUUAAUAUAUUAUAUGACAGAUUAUCUAACCUUAGAAACAGAAAGAAGUGGCAGUUUUCUGGCAGAAAAAAGUGUUGCUCUGCCAGAAAAAAAAGUGAAUUUUAAACGUUUAUAUACGUAAUUUUAUAUACGUAUUUUUACGAACAUUUUGUUUUGCGUGGAAAGUCGCAAACCCAUGUGGUGCAGAGAAUGCUUCGCACACGCACGCACGCACGCACGCACGCACACACAGUGUCACAUUUAUACAUGCGGAUAUAUAUGUGUUUAUAUACAUAUGCGAGCAAGUUGACAAGUGCACGCAAUAAACCUUAAAAUAGCAAUUAAAAAAAUUUAUAUUUCCGAAACUAGACAGAAAGUUCGCACAAAUUGUAAUUUUUUAUUAGAGCUAUAAGUACUACAAUAUAUAAAAAAUUCAAGGAAAUUGACAGAGCUUUUUUUUUUAUAUAAAUUGUGUGGGGUCCUUUGCAGGAGUCUUUGUUAAGUGGAUUUUUAAAAAAAUUAUGUCUUAGAUUUAGAUACAAAUGGAAUAUUAUAUUUAUUGCGUACGGUAAAAUUGAUGUAAAAAAAGUGAUCCGCUUGAUAUAAAAAAUUACACGAUGGAUAUAUUAUUCUAUUUGCAUCCAAAUCCAAGACUUGAGUCUAAAAAAGUGACUUGUUGAUACUGGAUAAACCACAGGUGAAUACUGACUGUCGUAAUCCGUCUGUGAAAAAAUAAAAAUAUCGUUGAUGACGAACAUAAUGUCACUGAACAGAUACUGAACUGAGUCGAUCAUAGUUUUGUGCCGAAUAUGUGUGAACAUGUCUAUUCAAAACAAAUAAACAAUAUUUAUAAUCACUGACACUGACGGAAAAUUACGGAUCUGAGAGGAUACGGCACUGAUACGUUACAUACGGAUAUGUGUAAAUUGACCUUUAAAAUAUGCCACUAAAUUCUUGGGACCAUACCAGAUAAUAAAAGUUUUACGCAAUGAUAGUUAGAAAAAUAGGCGACCAUAAAGGGCCAAUCGAAACUUCAACAGCCACCGAUUAUUUAAAGCCGUGGUUAGAAAACGACGACCAUUAAGAUGACGAUGACAACAGUAAUCGGGACGAAAUCUGAGGACAGAUUUAAUUGUCAGAAGGGCCAAAUGUAGGAUCGAAAUUUUUUAAAUUUAUAUUUUCAUGUGCGAACAAUAUUCGCUUCGAGGAAAUAAUUUGUUUCGUUCGUUAUAUUUAAGACAAGUUUGGCAAUAUAAUAGAGACAUAAGUACAACAUUGUAAGACGAAGCGUCUUUUAUCUUGACGAGAUUGUAAGACGACUUUAGUAAGAUAACCAAAAAGUAAGAAUAUUUUAGACUAUGUAGCGACUGGAAUAAAUGCAGUGGAAUAGCUGUGGAGAGUGAGUUCUUGCCCGAAUCGAAUACUGUACACAUCGCUGAAUUCUCUUCUACUCUCUUUGAUUUAAAUAUAUUCUAUCAUUCUUUUAUUAAUACCCAGCCGUUUUCUAGCCUACCGUGUUUCUGACUUUACACAAAUGUAAAAUAUUAUAUUAAUUAAUAUGAUGUGGAAAAUAUUUAGAAUUUGGAUCAGAGUGGAUUUCAGCUAGAAUUCCAUUCGUACUUUAGCUUAAAAAGGUAUUAAAAAUGUAGAAUGUGUACAGUCUAUCAGCAACCACGCACAGCUAUACAAUUUAACCGACUAUUUUGACUGAUUAUUAUCACCUCUUUUUAUAGUAUUAAAAGAAAUUACAAAAACAUUUCGUCCGAGAGUACAAGAAACAUUAUUCAACGCGCCUAAUAUCUUUGUUACGGCUUCAAAAUCAGGCAAAUUCAAACAUCAAAUAACAUUAAAUCAUGUAAAAACUUGGUUAAAGGAAGUAUUUCUUCUGAAUGUCGGGCCACAGUCAAUAUUGUUGUUAGAUUCAUGUCCUAACAUAAUUUUAGAAACUAAACCAGAUUCUGCAACAGAUAUUGUUUUUCUAAGUAUUCCGGCCGAUACAACGGGAAAACACAGCCAUUAGAUGUAUACGGAUUCCGGAAGAAUUUUAUUAAAUAUUUUUCUGAUACUGUUAUGUUGUUAGAUCUGGCUUUUGAUUUUUAUAAUAGAAAUAAUAUCUUGAAAUUACAGUCAUUAACGCACCAUUAAUUCUCGUCGUCUAGGUUUCAAAAUGUAUUUAAAUAUGCUUGGAUUAAAAGUGGAUACGUACAGAAAACGAUGAUUACUUGCAGGCUAUACCGAUAAAAUUUGAAACACCAGUAGAGAUUUGUUUUAAAAAGAAUUUUGAAGUAAAAUGCGAUCUUUGUAACGAAAUAGCCAUAAUAACUUGUUUUUGGUGUAGAAAAUCGUUUUGUAUAACACAUUUUUACCAUGAACAUUAUCUUUGAAAGCAUGCUAUCAAUUUGUUGCUUUAAUCUGAUGUCUUACUGUUAAUGGCAAUUCUGUUGUAGUAUUGCAAUAAAUUUUGUGUUAGAAUAUGAUAUUAAGUUUUGUUUGCAAUUGAAACGUACUCGAGGACACAAUAAGCCCAUGGAUUUGGCAACCUUAUUAUGCAGAAAAUUGUUUCCCUAUUAGUAAUUUGGAAGCAAAUGGUUAGCUGGGAAUAAAUUCUGUUGAACCAUUAAACUAAACUUUAAUAAUUAAAAUGUAUUUUUUGUAAUGUCUGCCAUAUUGGAUUAGCCAUUUUGAAUUUCUCUUUGACUUUAAAUUUGUAAUUAGCGACAUAAAAACUUUAGAGUAUGUUAUCUUGAAUUUUUUAAGUGUCAAAAACACUAUUUUGAAGAACAUAAGCUUUAUUGCUGAUGAACUUUGAUCCUUUCUAUCUCAGAAAUCAAUUGUCACCUUAAAAUAAAAAUUUGCGAGAAUUUAUAUCGCAUUAUAAGAUAAUAUUUGACAUGCAAUUUACUUGAAAAAUCGAGGGACUAAAAAUGGACGAAUUUGUAGGUCAUUUUUUAACCCUUGUUUGACGGAGUGGGAAGACUUCCACGAUAAACCCCUAUGAAUUGGACAGUUUUUAUGCAAUUAAUGUCAAAAUUUGCAUAAAAGGAUUUUAAGGAUUGCUAAUUUUAAAUCUGAUGUCGAAAAUUUAAAGUUUAAAAUUGCGGAUUCAAAAUGGCUGACUUAAAGUAUCCAUAUAUAAACGUGGUAUCAAAAUGUACAAAUUUUACACAAAAACAUUUUUCUAAGGGUUUUUGAGGUUGCUGAUUACAAAUUUGAUAUCAAAAAUGCAAAAUUUACAAUAAUCGAUCCAAAAUGAUGGACCUAAAAUAUCCAUAUAGUAGGUGUACAACUUUGCUUCUGCUGUUUUUUUUUCGAAAUUUGAGGCUUUAUAGUGAAAAACUGGUUAUACAUUUACGAUUUAAAGUAUUGUCCAUCGCUGGCCACUACUUUUUCCCAUCUUUUUGGCAGCAUACGAAUCCCGCGUCGAAAAAACUGGUCAUUUUUUGAGACGAUCCACAAAUCGAUCCAAUUUUUUACUUUUUCAUAAGAACGGAAGUGUUGGUCGGCCAGGCCGUGUGUCAUUGAUUGAAACAAGUGAUAGAGGGAGCAAUGUCCGAAGAAUACGGCGGGUGGGGUAGGACUUUCUAUUUCAACGUUUCCAAGUGUUUUGACGGGCUUUGCGACGUGCACUGUCAUGCUGAAAAAUUACUUCAUCGUGUCUAUCGUUGUAUUGCGGCCGUUUGUUUUUUAAUGCUUGGCUCAAACGCAUCAAUUGCUUUUCAUACCGAUCGCCUGUGAUUGUUUCAGUCGGUUUUAGUAGCUCAUAAUACACUACGCCGAACUGGUCCCACCAAAUACAGAGCAUGACCUGUUCAUGAAGCGUUGAAACCACUCUCGGCUUUCACUAAUAGCGGCCUCAUCAUACGAAUUUGAGAGCAUUUGAUGAGCCUCAGCCACAGAUUUUUUCAUAUUGAAGCUAAAAAUUAAAACCUUUCGCAAAUGACGAGAAUUUGACUCGUAAGCUGACAUUUUCAAUCGAGAAUAACUUUAUGAUGCAGACACAAAUCGACUAAUAUUUCGAUGACGUUAUGUUUACAGAUGCCUAAGCUUAUUGUAUGAUGUCUACGAUCUAUUUAUUUCGACCACUACUUAUCGCUACAGUCAUCUAUUGAAAAACCGCGGAACAAAGUUGUACACCUAAUAUAAACUGUUACGACUUUUUCCUCCGCGCGGGGAAAACCGCGAGCAAAAAA